rnacentral:lncRNA from 1 species
UAGAACAUGAGUUCCUCACUGAGGACUUGCCAGUGAAGCUCAUUAGGAUGAACUGCACUUUAAUGAAGUAAUACAUUGAGUUUGUGGCCGACAGACUUAUGUUGGAACUGGGUUUUAAGACUUAAUGGAGAGUAUUUCACUGCAAGGAAAGAUUAAGUUCUUUGAGAAGAGAGUAGGUGAGUAUCAAAAGAUGACAGUGAUAUCAAGUGCGAUAGAUAAUUCUUUUACUUUGGAUGCCGACUUCUAA